rnacentral:rRNA from 1 species
CCUACGGGAGGCAGCAGUGGGGAAUUUUGGACAAUGGGCGAAAGCCUGAUCCAGCCAUUCCGCGUGAGUGAAGAAGGCCUUCGGGUUGUAAAGCUCUUUCGCAAGGGAAGAAAACUUAGAUACUAAUAUUAUCUGAGGUUGACGGUACCUUGAUAAGAAGCACCGGCUAACUACGUGCCAGCAGCCGCGGUAAUACGUAGGGUGCGAGCGUUAAUCGGAAUUACUGGGCGUAAAGCGUGCGCAGGCGGUUUUGUAAGUCAGAUGUGAAAUCCCCGAGCUCAACUUGGGAACUGCGUUUGAAACUACAAGACUAGAAUAUGUCAGAGGGGGGUAGAAUUCCACGUGUAGCAGUGAAAUGCGUAGAGAUGUGGAGGAAUACCAAUGGCGAAGGCAGCCCCCUGGGAUAAUAUUGACGCUCAUGCACGAAAGCGUGGGGAGCAAACAGGAUUAGAUACCCUGGUAGUCCACGCCCUAAACGAUGUCUACUAGUUGUUGGUGGAGUAAAAUCCAUGAGUAACGCAGCUAACGCGUGAAGUAGACCGCCUGGGGAGUACGGUCGCAAGAUUAAAACNCAAAUGAAAUUGACGG